UCCCGGGGCUACCCUACUCCCGUAGGGUUUAGAGUCGUCGGGCCUCUCGGAGAAGCUCGGUCCUGAACUCCACCCUUGAAUAAACUACCUUUGUUGCUUUGGCGGGCCGCCUCGUGCCAGCGGCUUCGGCUGUUGAGUGCCCGCCAGAGGACCCCAACUCUUGUUUUUAGUGAUGUCUGAGUACUAUAUAAUAGUUAAAACUUUCAACAACGGAUCUCUUGGUUCUGGCAUCGAUGAAGAACGCAGCGAAAUGCGAUAAGUAAUGUGAAUUGCAGAAUUCAGUGAAUCAUCGAAUCUUUGAACGCACAUUGCGCCCUCUGGUAUUCCGGGGGGCAUGCCUGUUCGAGCGUCAUUAUAACCACUCAAGCUCUCGCUUGGUAUUGGGGUUCGCGGUUUCGCGGCCCCUAAAAUCAGUGGCGGUGCCUGUCGGCUCUACGCGUAGUAAUACUCCUCGCGAUUGAGUCCGGUAGGUCUACUUGCCAGCAACCCCUAAUUUUUUUAAGGUUGACCUCGGAUCAGGUAGGGAUACCCGCUGAACUUAAGCAUAUCAUG
rnacentral:rRNA from 1 species